AUUGAACGCUGGCGGCAGGCCUAACACAUGCAAGUCGAACGAGUGGCGGACGGGUGAGUAAUGUCUGGGAAACUGCCUGAUGGAGGGGGAUAACUACUGGAAACGGUCGCUAAUACCGCAUACCAUCAGAUGUGCCCAGUUGGGAUUAGCGGGUUGGUGGGGUAACGGCUCACCAAGGCGACGAUCCCUCGCUGGUCUGAGAGGAUGACCGGCCACACGGGAACUGAGACACGGCCCAGACUCCUACGGGAGGAAGCAGUGGGGAAUAUUGCACAAUGGGCGCAAGCCGGAUGCAGCCAUGCGGCGGGUAUGAAGAAGGCCUUCGGGUUGAAAAGUACUUUCAGCGGGGAGGCGUUACCCGCAGAAGAAGCACCGGCUAACUCCGUGCCAGCAGCCGCGGUAAUAC
rnacentral:rRNA from 1 species